rnacentral:rRNA from 1 species
GUUUAAUUCGAUGCAACGCGAAGAACCUUACCUACUCUUGACAUCCAGAGAACUUAGCAGAGAUGCUUUGGUGCCUUCGGGAACUCUGAGACAGGUGCUGCAUGGCUGUCGUCAGCUCGUGUUGUGAAAUGUUGGGUUAAGUCCCGCAACGAGCGCAACCCUUAUCCUUUGUUGCCAGCGGUUAGGCCGGGAACUCAAAGGAGACUGCCAGUGAUAAACUGGAGGAAGGUGGGGAUGACGUCAAGUCAUCAUGGCCCUUACGAGUAGGGCUACACACGUGCUACAAUGGCGCAUACAAAGAGAAGCGACCUCGCGAGAGCAAGCGGACCUCAUAAAGUGCGUCGUAGUCCGGAUUGGAGUCUGCAACUCGACUCCAUGAAGUCGGAAUCGCUAGUAAUCGUGGAUCAGAAUGCCACGGUGAAUACGUUCCCGGGCCUUGUACACACCGCCCGUCACACCAUGGGAGUGGGUUGCAAAAGAAGUAGGUAGCUUAACCUUCGGGAGGGCGCUUACCACUUUGUGAUUCAUGACUGGGGUGAAGUCGUAACAAGGUAACCGUAGGGGAACCUGCGGUUGGAUCACCUCCUUACCUUAAAGAA